CUUCACUUCACUUCAAACGUCACAUCCGGUACGAGGUACAAGUAAUAAGAUCCUGUGAACAUUGUUCCAGAUGAGUAUCAUAUUAGCAGGAAAGCUCUUUAAUGCCAUAAGCCUAGUGAACAUAACUCAUGACCUAUUUAGUAAGUCAGUCAGUUUAAUACCAUCUGGAGAACCGCAUCCUGAUAUAGCGUCGUCAAAUUGUUUGGCUGAAAAAAUUGGGAUCAGAACAGUGCGCAGACGUUGUCAUUGGGAAUAUCAAGACGUCUGAAGGUUUUAUUGAACAAACACUCAGGAUGUUCAAUUUGUUUGUUGAGAUUCUUACAACUAUCUCUCUCUUGGCUUGUAAGUACAGCACUUUAAAUUGAUCUCGCAUGUAUCUCCGAUUUUUCUUUUUGUGUAAAUCGUGAAAUAAGUUCACACAGUACUGAUUUAUGUGAUUGCGCUCAAAGCGGACUCUAUUUGCUGAGGUUUGCAAAUAUGGCGUAUAUAUCGCUAUGAUCCACAGGGGCCAGAUUAGCGCGUUAUCUGUCGACAAUCAACAUCAAUGCAGGAAGGUAGUUAUUUGUCCUUCUUAGACCAAUGGAACUGUAGAUUCUGUUUACCGUCCGAGAAUUUAAGGAAUCUGAUGCGCGUUUUUUUCAUUAUUCAUUUUUCAUUAUUUUUGUUAUUAUCUAUUUUCUGACCAAAAAUGAUCUUUAAAGGCACAGUUCAGCCUUUUGAACGAUGGUUUUUAAGGCGCAUUUCAGCCCUUUUAAUUGCAAAAACUAACUAGGAAAAUCAAUUAAGCAUAAUUCAAAAUCAGUAAACUCGAUGUUUUUAACAAUAAAAAUGUUUUAAAAUGUUAAAAACAUUAAGUUUGGUGAUCUUGAAUUAUGCUUAAUUGAUUUUCCUAGUUAGUUUUUUCAAUUAAAAGGGCUGAAAUGCGCCUUAAAAAUCAUCGUUCAAAAGGCUGAACUGUGCCUUUAAAUCAUUUUCUUUUGAUCUCGACCAUCAACACUUUUGUCCAGCAUUCUUUUAUCAUUUUUGGGCUUUCCCUUGCUGAAAAUUUCUUUGUCGCGUCAUUGUUUUCGAAUUUGCACAUAUCAGACUCGCGAACAUCUGAGUGUACCGAACAAUUGCCGACUUGGAUCCAUCAUACAUCAGCGAUGUACGGCUUUUUAUAUCGAAUAUUUGAUGAUUUGAUGUAAUAUAUGAAAGUUUCGAUGCGUAGAAUUAAAAAUAAUGACAAGUAAUGAAAAUAAUUAAGAAUAAUGAAAAAUUCUUGCGGCAGUUGCAAGCACAUGCGGGCGGUGGACGGUAAACAUAAUCUACAGUUCCAUUGGCCUUAUCAGUAUAUCUAGCCUUUUAACUAAACUAAACGAGAAUAAGCACUGGCCAAAGGUGACUUAAAUCGAACAUAGGUUACUAUAUACACCUGAGUUUAUCUAUAUUGGUCGAGUGUGGCAGGAAGGUGAUAAUGAUUUUGCAGUAUGCAUUGCGCCUACUCGGAAUUUUAAAUAAGAAAUUCGUUCGACAACGCUUGCCAAUCUGCUCUUUCCAAAGUGCACUCAGAUGCCAUCUUUCCUGCCAAUAUCACUGGCAGACUACUCAAGAUAGAAUGAGCGGAAUUCAUGCUGUCAUGUCAUGAAAUCAAUCAGUUGAGGGCAACGGAACUAUACUAACAACACUGAUAUUCACUUAAAAGCAUGCCAAGUUACAACAAUAGGGAAAUAUAACUUCAGCUGGAGAGCCAUUAGGCCACUCCAAAUUAGACUUUAGUUUCCCGUCCGGCCCUUAUUUCAAAUUACACGCGGGCGGGCGGUCAUUCCAUUAUCCAUUAUGGUGUCUGAACGAAUCUGACACGACCCAUUAUUCCAUGAAAAAGAUACACAUUUUAAAUAUCCAUUCAGCCACAUUGCUACGGACUGUUUUGGUUUUUUGUAUGCAGGAAUAAAUGCCAGGAUAUUAAUUAACCUUAUCCUUUUAUUACGUUCGAAAAUCAAAACGUGUAACGGAAGUGUCUAGCUCAGCGGUUAGUCGGUUACUGUAGUAAAAGCGAACAAAAACAACAAUUCACGCUCUUUCAAAAAAAGUCUCAACAAUUUUGUUUCGAAUUUUACGUAUUAUAUGAUAAAUAUGAAUUUCUUGAACGAUAGAUUUUUCGAAAACUAUGGAUUUUCGUUAUUCUUAGUCAUAAAAGUCAAAUAAUGGAAACAAGUUAGCAAUAAUGGACAAAUUAUGCGGCCAGUUCUAGGAGACGCGGGCGGAGGACGGGAAACUAAAAUCUAAUUUGGAGUGACCUUAAGCCUAAUUUCGGUUGUUAUGGUCCGCGCACAUGGAGUAACAUUUUCCUUUUUGAGCUGGAGGGAUUAAUAGGCGAAAUACAAAACACAUAAUCAUGAUAUCGUGAUAAAAACACCAAACCUAAAAACAAUAUUUAUAAAAUGAACGUUUCGUAUUUUUUGUUAAUACUUGAUCAUGGACUUAAAGCUUCUAAAGAACUAAUCAUAUUUAAUUAAUUCGUUAAUAAUCAACCUAAUGAUUGUAUCAUAUUUCUUCAUAUAAAUACUGCUUUUGAUGUAUAACCUAGCUAGUUUAUCCCGGAUAAUGACUGAAAUAUACAGUCGAAACGUAGAUAAAUAAAUAUGUUAUCGAUUUUUGGAGUUUAACUUGUUUUGUAUUUUUGUAUCUGCGAAGCAGAUAUAUAUGCUAUCGCAAACGUGCCGUGACCGUACCGUACCGUAUGUUAACACAUAGCCAUUCAGCGGCGAGCUUAUAUAAUUUAAGCCAAUUUAAGCCUAUCAGCGAUUCGUUUACAUCAAUUGUUUACAUCGUGCCCGCAUCUAACCUGCGAACGGGCAUACUUUAACCUCGUCAGGCCUCGUGUAUAAAUCGUGUUUAUAUUCUUUCAAAAAUAUCUUGAUAUUUUUAUCAAUUUAUCUUAAUUGGCUGUCUUGUUUUCUCGCCAUUCUACUUGCGAUAUUAUUCCGAAGUUAUUUAUCAACACGGAAUCUUAUCCUCAUCUGGUAAGUAGUCAAAUACCACAUAUAUUUAAAUACCAAAUUUGUGCAAAUAUAUGUCCCACAUAUUUUAUAAUACAUGAGUUCGCCAGUUCGGCAAAUAUUUACUAUACUAUCUAUAGUUAAUUUAGAUUUAUACAGUAUUAAAAACAAUCCUUCUGUGGCUUCUGUAAUAUUUUAAACAGUGAAAACAUUCUCAGGAGAUAUUGAAUUAAAUCCUGGUCGUGUAUUUCUGUAUAUUGACUCCGCAACUCUGUUCAAAACAACAGUCCAACUAUAAAGCUGCCAUGAAAUGUAGUGUUAGAGCUGUGGUAGAUUUUCGUUCGAUCCCCACAAUAAGAGCAAAUUACGCGUUUUUAUCUUGUGUUUUGUAUUAUAAUCCCUUCCCAAAUCGCUCCCAGUUACAUAUAUUCCCAUGCAAUAACAACAUUCCUUUUAUCUUAUGCCUGUCAAUCAAUUCCAUAUAUGGCAGUCACCUCAUCUCUAAAUUUAACUAUUAUUAUUAAUGUCAACCUUUUUCCCGACACACUCCCCCUAUUUAGAACGUAAGUUUUAUAUCUGUCUUAUAUACACACGAACGUCUACACGUAUUCACCGUCUCUACCCAUCAAAGUUCUUCCUCUUCCUGAUCAUAAAUUACUUCAAUGUUCUUCCUUGCAUCGACAGCCGCUCUACGCUUCGGUUUGAACUCCUUUGCAACAGGAUUCAAUGGAGCAGUUUCUUGAUUGCUUUCUCUAUCACAAUACAAUUCCAAAGGGUAAAGAAAUUGUAUUGGUCUUUCCAUGAAUGAUUUUCCUGCAUGUAGUCUAACUCCACGAACCACUCUGUCUCUUCCGGGUAUAAGUUGUUCAACAAUCCCAAUUUUCCACAGUCUACGAUUCUUUUCAUCACCUUUGAUUAACAUAACAUCACCCUUUCGUAGCUCUCUCUCUUUCCCGUCAUGUGUUAAAUUAUGCCUUUCGCGAAGUGCUCUCAUGUAUUCUCGUCUCCAUCGUUGCCAUAACGCGUCCUUACAUUUCUUCAAAUACUUCGCCCUCUUUCGCAGGUCUCGUUCUUCUAUAUCCUCAGGUGAUAACUCCAUAAGAUAAUAAUUGGCUUUACCGAAGAUCAUCAUGUUCGGCGUCAACACGGGAAGUUGAACGUCAUCCUCGCAGUACGAUAGUGGUCGAUUGUUCAAUACGAGCUGGAUAUCUAGCAUCACAUCUUGCAAUUCUUUGAAGGUAAGUUUGGCCGAUCCUACGACCUUGUAAAGAGCUUGUUUCACUAUGCUGACCAUUCGUUCGAACAUUCCACCCCACCAGCUAGCUUUGCUUAGAUUGAACUGCCAUUUCACACCAUGUUCACUCAGAUAGCCUUGUAACUUUUCGUUCCGUACGACUUUCUUGAUCCAUUUGGCAGUAGCCACGAAAGUCUUUCCAUUAUCGGAUAUGAUCUUCUUCGGACGACCUCUUGCUGCGAUAAAUCUUUUAAAACUCAUCAGAAACUCUUCACAGCUCAUGUUUGGCAGAAUCUCCAAGUGAAGUCCUCUAGUUAAACUGCAGGUAUAGAUGAGUAUAUAUGACUUACGCUCAGCUCCCCCAUUUCCCUUGUAAUAGAUUGGUCCGGCAUAAUCGACACCAGUUACUUCUAAGGGGAUUUCACCUUCAGUUCGUUCUUUUGGAAGAUUCCCCUGAGGUGGAGCGGGCAUUGGCGUUGUGUAAAAUCGUUUACACCCAUAGCAUUUGCCAAUAACUUUCUUCACAAGACUUCGUAAUGUAGGGAUCCAAUAAUCACCGCCAGCCUCUCGAUUUUCUGCCGCCUCUGAAUUUUUUUUUAUUUUUUUUAUGUAAGUCUCUUCGUUUUACAGCUUAAAACAGUUUAAUAUUUGAAAUUUUUCUCAUGCUCAGACCUUCGCGCUAUCUACUGAUCGAUAGGAGCGCGUAGGCUUGGGUAUACAAGGUUCUUAACGCAAAAUGGCGGCCUUCGCAACAUCAGUACAAAAAAUAUCACCGAUAUGGUGGAAAAACCGCCCCCCAUCCCCUCCAAAAAUACUAUUAAAAAAUUAAAAAACGAGUAAAAAUUUAAAAAAAAAUUCCGCCCGCCUCUGAAAAUUUGUGAGAGUGCGACGCUAACCAAGUAUUUUUUUAUUUGGCCUAAAUUGUAACAUGAGUGCAUCUAUUGCAGAUAAUAAUACUAAACAUUUACUUGAACUAAGUGAGUCAUAUCAAUAUACACAACUUAUUAAGGAGUCAACUAGAGUUACAAAUAGCUCAUCCACGUUAAUCGAUCUCUUUCUUACUAAUGAACCGAACAACUUUACUUCUGCGGGCGUUAUAGUUCUAGGUAUCAGCGACCAUAACUUAAUUUAUGCUAUCAGAAAACACUCUAGUGUUAAAUCUAAGCCUAUAACUAUCAAAUCCCGCAAUUAUAAAAAUUUUGAUGAAACUUCAUUCAAGCAUGACAUUGAUGCUAUUCCUUGGCAGUACACAGUUUCCUUAGAUAAUCCUAUAAAUGCUUGGCAAAUUUGGAAAAAAACUAUUUCUUGAUGUUGCUGACAAGCAUGCUCCAGUCAAACAAAGAAGAAUAAGGAAAAAUUGUGCCCCAUGGCUCUCUGUAGAAAUCAAGAAAUUAAUAUGGGAACGAGAUCGAUUGAAGCGUAAAGCAGUUUAUACUAAUGAUGAAAAUGAUUGGGUCAAUUUUAAAACGGCUAAAAAUCUAGUUAACUAUAAAAUUAGAGAUAGUAAAAAGCAAUACCAAUAUUAUAAUUCUUUGUUUCAACUCAACGUAGGUCGAACUAAAGAAACUUGGAAUGGUAUCAACAGUCUUCUUUCUAAAUCUAAAAAUUCAACUACAAUACCAAAAAUCUUGCAAGAUGAAAUCGAAAUUACUGACCCAGUAACUACUAGCAAUGUUUUUAAUAAACACUUCACUGAAAUCGGACCUAAAUUAGCAGCGCAAAUUCCAACAACUGGUGCGGCCUCUUAUAACAUACCACAAUGUAAUGAAGUUUUUGAAUUACAUGAAGUUACUCCAUCUCAAAUAGAUGGAAUAAUUUAUAAAUUAUCGACUUCUAAGGCUAGCGGUCUUGAUAACAUUCCUGUUCGUUUAUUAAAACUAAUUAAUUUCACUACUGUGGUUUCACUUACUAACAUUAUUAAUCUAGUAAUUCGCAAGGGAAUUAUUCCCGCUGACUGGAAGUGUGCCAGGGUAUCAGCAAUUUAUAAACAUGAUUCAAAACUAGAUUUGAAUAAUUAUAGGCCUAUUUCAGUCCUUCCAGUAGUUUCAAAAAUUUUUGAAAAAGUUGUCUUUGACCAAGCAUAUGCCUUUUUAAACAAAAACAACUUUUUAUCUGACCAUAUGAUCUGACAUACAGUCAGGAUUUAGACCUCUUCACUCAACGUUAACAGCUAUGCUUGAUGUCACUGAUAAAUGGUACACUAACAUGGACAGUGGGUUAAUAAAUGCUGUCUUAUUCAUUGAUUUAAAAAAGGCUUUUGAUACCAUUGAUCAUAACAUUUUACUACAGAAGUUAACUUGUUACGGUUUCAACAAAGAAACGAUUGAUCUUUUUAGAAACUAUCUUUCUGAUCGUACUCAAAUAACAGUUAUUAACAACAUACGAUCUGAUACUCGUAAAGUAACAUGUGGAGUUCCUCAGCGGUCUAUCUUAGGUCCACUACUGUUUUUAAUAUAUAUAAACGACCUACCUAAUAGUGAAUUGGUAUCAGAUGGGCGUUUAUUCGCUGAUGAUACCAACUUGACUUUUGCGGACAGCAACCCUGACAAGUUGAUUUCUGUUCUAAAUGACGACCUUAAAACUCUCCAAAACUGGCUUAAUCUGAAUAAACUAAGCCUGAAUGCGAUUAAAACUAAAUGUAUGUAAAUGGCAUCCAGGCAAAAAUUAAGUACUAUUCCUGAAGAACCUAAUACUGCUAUCUCCGGAAACAAAAUUGAAAGAGUUAGAUCUUAUAAGUGUUUAGGUUUAAAACUGGACGAGAGUUUGACAUGGGAGCAUCAUGUUUCUACUAUAAUCUCGAAAGUCUCCAAGGUGAUUGGAGUUCUACGAAGACUAAAACCAUUGCUCCCACAGUCAACUCUUGUCAUGAUAUAUAACUCUUUAGCACAGCCAUACUUUGAUUAUUGUAGUAUUGUCUGGGAUAGCCUAGGUAAGGGUCUUGGACAAAAGUUACAGCGAUUACAUAAUAGGGCUACAAGAAUUAUUACUGAAUCUGAUUAUAACAUCCGGUCAUCAUAUAUUUUAACAUCAUUGAAUUGGACCAACCUUGAAACCAGACGUACCCAACAGUUCAAAACUUUUAUGUACAAAAUAUGAAAAUUUACUUCCACGUCAAUGAUACACGAACAUAGUUUGCGUGGAUCUAAUCAUAAACUUUUUGUACCAGACCCUUAACGGAAUCCUUGAAGAAAAGUUUUUUCCUACAGAGGAGCUACCCUAUGGAAUGACAUACCCGUCGAACUCACUAGAGUUCAAUCUCUCGCUGAGUUUAAAUCUAAAAUAUCUUUCGUUUAAAUCUAAUCUAAAGUUUCUUUGCAUGUGUAGUUUGUUACUUUUGUAAAUAGUUUGAUACCUUUUUAUUAGUAAUUAGUCUACUAGUAUAGGUACACGUCUCCAUUGAAGAGCACAUAACAUAACCUGUGAAAUGGACCUCGUGUUUUAAAUAAAGAUGUCAAUCAAUCAAUCAAUCAAUCAAUCAAUCAAUCAAUCAAUCAAUCAAUCAAUCAAAUACUAGAGAUUUUUGUUUAGAAAUAUUGCUUGUUCGUGUCGCUACUAUAAUCGAGCUCCGCAACCAUGAAAUAUUUAAACAAAGUAUAUUAAAAUUUGAUAUUUUGAUCAACUCCCAUAUACAGUAGUUAAUAGUAAUAUUUGGUCGCCAUAUUUGGUCAAAGUGCGCAUGUCCGUCGCCAUCUUGUCCCAUAUUUCUGGUAAUGAAAUGACCACAUACUCGUCAAAUAAAAAUUGCCGGUUGAAAUCACAUUCUUCCACCGUUGGGAAUUGAAAAUAUAUUAAUUAUGCAAAGUUAAUCAAUCCAAAAGCAACACGAGCCUGCUGCAAGGUAUUUGUUUCGUAAAACGUUUUGAUUACGAAUGUUCUUUGUUCAGUGGUUAAUUGAACCAUGUUUAAUUCAAUAAUGGACGUUCUUGUCCAUGGGAGGUCGCCAAAAAAAAUUUUCCGGGAAAAAUUUUUUAGUACUAGUCGGGCAAAAUCACGAAAAGUCGGGCAAUUUACGAAAAGUCGGGCAAUUUUCUUUCCGCCCCCCUAAUUUUUUCCUUCCGGUACGCCCAUGGACGAGUAUGUGGCCAUUACUCAUCGUUACGAUUUAAAAAGAGUAUCAUUAAAUAGCUAAAUAACUUUCGUCCUAAGUGAAAAUUGAAUUGUUUAGCUAAGUUUAUGAUGCACGAUCGCCUGCUGAAUUUCCAUAGCGUUUUUUUUUUACACACCCUGUACUAUAUAGAAGGAAUGAAACACCGGUCACGUGAUUUUAUAAAAUGCGUCUAAUUUAACCGUUUCGACAAAAUUUGAUUAUUUUACAACGUAUUUAGCAUUCUCUUAGACGAUGUUAUAAAUUCUCCCCCUGAGAUUUAUUCCUUUGCUGGUUCUCGAAUAUAAUGGGACUGUAUGCUUUCGGUUUUCACAAAGUCUUAUUCUUUUCUCGUUCGUUUUCUCUACCUAAAUAGGUAGUCCAAGAACCAAAAAAGUGGUACGGGUCCCAAUUUUAUCCGUGCCGUACCAAAAGUUGAGCGUAGUGUAAACGGGGCUUUAUUUAAAAAUAUCUAAAAGCUCCUCUUUUUGUUUAACGUUCGUAUUUCCUGUUAUUCAAUGUUCCAGUUUACUCAUAUAUUUUUUUAUCAGAACAUUAUUGGCAUGCUUAUAUAAAUUUUUACUAAAUAAUAUUAUUUUCACUAAAUGUAUUCUAUAUUGAAUCUAAGCUACUAAUUUACAACAGACGAACAAAGAUAUCUAGUAAAGAAAUAACAUAGACAAACCUUUCCCUAAAUGAUUUUUAACUGCAGGCUUUCUUCGCAAUUUUCGCCGCGAUAUGUCUGCCAAAAGUAGCCUAUCCAAUCGGACGACGUUCGGCAUUCGUGAGAUGCUAGCUAGGAUUUGCAUUCAGAUUUUAAAAAUAGCAGUGAUUUGUUGCCGCUGGUAUAGACUAUACCGCAGUUUCAAUACUAAGUUUUAAUAAGUUUUUUAAAAUGUAAAUAAUCAGAAAUUGCUCUAUAAAAUCAAAAAUAGCUUUGAUCAUGAGAUGCAUUUCUGAACUGCGUCGGAAAUCUCCGAGUGGAUAGGCUACUCUUGGUAAACAUCGAACGAUCACAUAACCGAUGUUUCAUCCCUUCUAUUAUUAAUUUAUACUAUUACCUCAUAGGAUUCUAUAGUACUUCAUAUAGAUAAUAUUUUUUGCUUUUUCUCUGUUGACAUUCUUGCGAAGAAUUUAUGCAAAUCGUUUAAAGAGUCUAGGCCUGGUCAACGACAAUGCAAUGCGCGCUUUUGUUUACGUUUUUCCGUUACUUUUAUCAAUUGUUGCCGCCAUUUUCGAGGCCACACAAAAUGGCUGCCUCUGGCCCACAACGUAACAGAAACGUAAACAAACGCACGCAUUGCAUUGUGGUUGACCACGACGCUUUAAAGUAAGUUUAUUAUUUUGAUUAUUUCACACUUGUUACUGACAGUAUCACUGCCAGACUACUCAAGAUAGAUUAGGUUAGACCAGAGCAGUAAUUUUAAGAUCGAUCAGACGUCGAAUAUUUGAUCUUAGCCUAGGGGUAACAUGCAUUGAGUGGAAUUCAUGCUGUCAUGUCAUGAAAUCAAUCAGUUGAGAGCAACGGAACUAUACUAACACUGUACUACUGAUAUUCACUUGCCAAGCAUGCCAAGUUACAACAAUAGGGAAAUAUAAUUUCAGCUGGACGUUUUCCUUUUUGAGCCGGAGAGAUUAAUAGGCGAAAUACAAAACACGUAAACAUGAUAUCAUGAUAAUAACAUAACUCAAAUGCAAAGGUAUAGGUUUAUGGUCGUUUUAUUCCGGCCGUAAAUAAGUCAUUUCUUAUUUUACAUCGCACAUAUUUUAAUACAACAAAUUAAAGCUAAAAAUCUGGUUUGUCUAGCUGUCAUAAUCUCAAAUUGGUGUAAUAUAAGCUCGUCAAAAGAAGUUGUAUUGGAUUCUUUUGUGGUGAU